CUAGCCGCCUUCUCUCCAAUGAGGGCUUCGCAUUUUGGACAUUCUGCUUUCAAUUCCCGCGGAACUGAAAGCCUAAUGCCCAGAAAGCGAGGCCUCCAUUGUAGAGAAUGCGGCUAGAG
rnacentral:precursor_RNA from 15 species